GAUGAACGCUAGCGGCAGGCCUAACACAUGCAAGUCGAGGGGCAGCACAGAAACAGCAAUGUUUUGGUGGCGACCGGCGGACGGGUGCGUAACGCGUAUGCAACCUACCUUUAACAGGGGGAUAACGGAGAGAAAUUUCCACUAAUACCCCAUAACAUCGAUCAAGGCAUCUUGAUUGGUUGAAAACUCCGGUGGUUAAAGAUGGGCAUGCGUUGUAUUAGGUAGUUGGUGAGGUAAUGGCUCACCAAGCCUACGAUACAUAGGGGGACUGAGAGGUUAGCCCCCCAAACUGGUACUGAGACACGGACCAGACUACUCCGGAAGGCAGCAGUGAGGAAUAUUGGUCAAUGGGGGCAACCCUGAACCAGCCAUGCCGCGUGCAGGAAGACGGCUCUAUGAGUUGUAAACUGCUUUUAAACAGGGAUAAAGCACAGUAUGUAUACUGUGUUGAAGGUACUGUAAGAAUAAGGAUCGGCUAACUCCGUGCCAGCAGCCGCCGUAA
rnacentral:rRNA from 1 species